GGUGGGUGGCUGGGCAGGGCCCCGGGUGGGCCUACUGCCAGCCUCACCCCGGGGUGGGAGUGGAUUCUUGGGAAACGGCUCCAAAACCCCCAAGUUCGCCCCUGAUGUGUUAGUGUCCUUUUCAGUGGCCUCCCUCUCCCCUGACUACGGUUGAGUGGGAGGGGGCUACUGUAGGGGAGGAGGGAGGCCAGGCCUGCGGAGAGCUCCAGUACACUAUUUCAUCUGUAUUUAACGUGUCUGGCAUUAUGAUAACCUAUUUUAGAAAUAUUCAUGUAAUGUUUAUAACACCCCUGUGAGGGAGGUGCCAUCAUUUUUACAGAUAAAGGAAAUUGAAGCAGAGAGACAUUAAGGGCCCCAGAGGGAUUUGAACCGAGGAUGCCUGGUUUGGGGGAUGUUCACUGCAGGUGCUGCGGACAUAAAUCAAGAUGCUCAAUUCUGGGUUCCCUGUAUUGGAGUGGCGCUGGAGAAGAGGGUCAGCAUCGACAGCAGGGCUGGCUGCCCACUGUCCUGUUUGCUCAGCUGUAAAAAGCAGAAGAGGUGCCUCCCGCUCCCACAAUGCUGUCUGGGGUCGGACCCUGAGUGGUAAGGUGUCAUCUCCUGUAAUACCCAGACAGCCUCCAACCUCUUUGUCAUUUUAAGGCGGACCAGACUAUGGAAAUUAUUUUUGACAAAAAGCAAAUUCGAGCAAUUUUCUUAUUUGAGUACAAAAUGGGUCGUAAAAGCAGCAGAGACAAUUGGCAACAUCAACAAUACAUCUGGCCCAGGAAUGCACAGUGCAAUGGUGAUUCAAGAAGUUUUGCAAAGGAGAUGAGAGGCUUGAAGGUGAGGAGUGCAGUGGCUGGCCAUCGAAAGGUGACAACAACCAAUUGAGAACAGUCAUUGAAGCUGAUCCUCUUAUAACUACACCCAAAGUUGCCAAAGAACUCAACCAUUCUACAGUUGUUCGGCAUUUAAAGUAAAUUGGAAAGGUGAAAAGGCUUGGUAAGUGGGUGCCUCAUGAGCUGACUGCAAAUC
ensembl:lncRNA